UAGGGAAUCUUCGGCAAUGGAGGCAACCCUGACCGAGCAACGCCGCGUGAGUGAAGAAGGUUUUCGGAUCGUAAAGCUCUGUUGUAAGUCAAGAACGAGUGUGAGAGUGGAAAGUUCACACUGUGACGGUAGCUUACCAGAAAGGGACGGCUAACUACGUGCCAGCAGCCGCGGUAAUACGUAGGUCCCGAGCGUUGUCCGGAUUUAUUGGGCGUAAAGCGAGCGCAGGCGGUUUGAUAAGUCUGAAGUUAAAGGCUGUGGCUCAACCAUAGUUCGCUUUGGAAACUGUCAAACUUGAGUGCAGAAGGGGAGAGUGGAAUUCCAUGUGUAGCGGUGAAAUGCGUAGAUAUAUGGAGGAACACCGGUGGCGAAAGCGGCUCUCUGGUCUGUAACUGACGCUGAGGCUCGAAAGCGUGGGGAGCGAACAGGAUUAGAUACCCUGGUAGUCCACGCCGUAACGAUGAGUGCUAGGUGUUGGAUCCUUUCCGGGAUUCAGUGCCGCAGCUAACGCAUUAAGCACUCCGCCUGGGGAGUACGACCGCAAGGUU
rnacentral:rRNA from 1 species